GGAUGGAUGUCUGAGCGGUUGAAAGAGUCGGUCUUGAAAACCGAAGUAUUUUUAGAAAUUUUUACUAUCCA
rnacentral:tRNA from 1 species